rnacentral:rRNA from 1 species
UACAGAGGUCUCAAGCGUUGUUCGGAAUUACUGGGCGUAAAGGGUGCGCAGGCCGCGCGGCAGUCAAAUGUGUAAUUCAGGGGCUCAACCCCUGUACUGCGCUUGAUACUCCGCGCUCGAGCUUUGGAGAGGAGUCGUGGAAUUCCCGGUGUAGAGGUGAAAUUCGUAGAUAGUCGGGAGGAACACCGGUGGCGAAGGCGGCGAUCUGGGUCGAUACGUGACGCUGAGGUGCGAAAGCGUGGGGAGCAACAGG